AUUUCCGGUGUGACGGUUGUGUAUAGGGAUAUUCGGGAUAACCGCAAAGAAAUAGGGUUGAAAGGACCGCGCCUAUACACGUGGAGACGUCCAUUUAUUUCCUCCAUACAUAUGAUCAACAAGUAUAAACAGAAUCAACUUUUUCAAAUAUUUUCAUCAUCAAACAUAUAUUAUUAUUUCCCUCAGUCCACAUAAAAAAAAAACCGUUCAUGAACGUGCAAGAAUCAUUAAAGUUUAUCAAUAAAAAUUCAAGGAAACUCCAUUUGAAAAAAAUUUCUAAAAAAGGAUAGCACAAUCUUUUCGAAUUAUGAGACAUAAAAAGAAUAUUUCAACUAAAGUAAUGCGCCACGGAAUUUUAGUUCGCAAUUCUUUUAAAAUAUUACAAAAGAAACAAAUAUUGUUAUAUCGAAGAAAAAAUGUGAAAACGUCAAGUAUUUAUUAUCAGAACAAGCUAAAGAAACGACAAAUUGAAAAAUUAUUGAAAGAAUAUAAUUCCUUGAAGAAGAUUCAGCUAACGAAUAAUAAAGUAACUAAUAAUAAUGGAACAUCAAAAGAUGUCUUAAAAAUUGAUAAUCACUUUUUAAAUUAAUUUCAAGAGUAUUUUUAGUGUACCUGAAAAAAUUUAUGAUUAUAUAGAAAUAGUACCCGUGUAAAUUCUAAAUUUUCGACCAAAAUAGAUUUAAGACAUCCUAUCAAUUAAACCAAUAGUGUUCAUUAAUUUAUAACAUAUACGAAUUUUGUAUUAAGAAAAUAUUCUUAAAAAAAAAAAAAAAUGUCUAAGAAAGAAAAAUCGAUAUUAACUACAUAAAUCUUUGUACUGAAAAAAAAUGAGUGUUUUUUAAAAUUGAAAAAACAAAUUAUAAAAUGCACAAAAUAAAAUAUAUUGAGAAUUGUUUGAUAAAAAAAAAAAUGUCGCACAUUCCAAAAAUUCUCAUAUGUGUGUCAAUUUUUGUAAUUCUUGGCUUAGUAGUUUUUCUAACUAAAAAAAAAUUAGAAUUUGAAUCGCGAACAAAUUCAUUAUUUUUAAAAAUGAUUGCCAAUUUUAGUAGCACUCUUGAUAAAAUAGAUAGUGAUUUUGAUAACAUUUUUUCCAACAUAAGAAAUGCAAAAAAUAAAUUGAAUCAAUUGCCUCUUGGUCAACGGGAGAAAUUGACAAUUUGUGAUUAUUUGCGUAAUAAAUAUAAUAAGCAAAUUUUGAGAAAAAAUGUAACAAAGGAAUCUACUUAAAAAAAAAAAUGCUAGAUUUUUUUUAGUUCUUCGUUUUUCGUAAAUUUUCAAAAUGGUCCUUCUUUAAUUAAUCAAAUUCUGAAAUUUUUUUCUACUUUCUCUAAUCGUAUUAUAUAUUAACUAAUAAUUAUUUCUUUUAAUUAAAUUAUUUUAAAUUAAUAAAAGAUUUUUUUUUUAAUUUUGUUUGCCUAAAAUUAUACGUGACGUAUCAUUUAAUAUAUAUAAAAAAAUAUAAAUAUAUGCUAAAAAAAAUUAAUUGUAUUUUUCCUACUGUUGCUCUUUCACACCACAUAUAGAAUAAGUAUAAUUAUUGUAUAUAUAUAAAAUGUUUUGAUAUUGCACAGAAUUAUUCAAUUUGUUAUUUUAGUAAAAACAAUGUAAUAAUAUAUAUCUACGACUGUUUUGUGCGGCACAAAAGAAUUGUUAAUUUUUUUACGGCACAUAUGAAUAUUCCAUAAAAUUAGAAUUUUUUUUUUUUUUUUUUAGUUAAAUUAUUAUUAAUCAAUUUUAUAGGAUAUUCAAUUGGCCUUUUUUUUUGACAAAAGCCUCUAGUUUAGACAAUCAAAAACAUAAAUAAAUGUUUAAAAUACUUGUAAUUAAUAAUAAAAAACGACAUUAGAAUAAGAAACAUGAGACGAAUAUACAAUAUAAUAUUAAAGUAUGUCAAUAUCGGUAAUUUAAAAAGCAAUUUAAUGUGGGGCCAAAAUUAAAUAUAUAUAUAUAGAAUUAUGGGAAAGUAAAUUUUAUUUUAAAAAAAUUUUAUUGUUAUAUUUGCUAAUCUUUAUAUUAUUAAAUAUUUAAUAAAUAUAAUUUAAUAAAUUAAUUCAAAUUAAUUUUAUUAAAUUUAAUUAAUUUCAAUUGAAUUGGAUUUAUUUUAAUUUAAUUUAAUAAAUAAAUAAUUAAAUAGAUUGACAUAUUGACUGAAAAAAAUACAAGGUCAUAAAAAAGGUAUCAAUUAUUAAAAACAGAUUUCGGGAAUAAGACCUUCAUUUAUUUUUACAACAAUAAAGGUACCUGAAAUCUGCUCUAAAUUGAUAUUAUAAAUUCUCUUAUUGUAAAAUGACAUUUGUAUUUUUACAUAUUAUAAUACGGAUCGAAUUUUAUGUAACGAGAAAACGAAAGUAUUAUUUAUGUGUAUACAUAUAGUAUAUAUAAAUAUUAACAUAAUAUACAGUAUAAUAUACAGUAUAGUAUAUAUUAAUAUAAUAUUAUCAACCUUUCUUAUUAUUUCUUUAUACACUGAAAAAGAAAUUUAUUUCAUUCAAAAAUAAUCGAUUACUUGACUAUUAUCAAAUAAAUAUUUACUUGAGCAAAACAAUUUUUAUUUCAAUUAAAUAAAUUGUAUUUGUAACAAUAAUUUUUUUGUAUUUGAAACAAAUACCAUUGAUUAAAUAAUUAUUUAAUACAAAUAAAUAUAUAUUUGAUAAUAAAGUAAACAAAUUAUUUGAAUCAAAUAAUUUUUUUCAAUCUACAUAUAAUUCUUCAUAUAUAAAAUAUUGGAAUUGAAUUUUUUUUAUUAAUUCUCAUACUA